UCGGGAAUUUUGGGCAAUGGGCGAAAGCCUGACCCAGCAACGCCGCGUGUGGGAUGAAGGCCCUCGGGUCGUAAACCACUGUCAGGAGGAAAGAAAAGUCGGCCGGAUAAUACUCGGUCGACCUGACGGUACCCUCAAAGGAAGCACCGGCUAACUCUGUGCCAGCAGCCGCGGUAAUACAGAGGGUGCAAGCGUUGUUCGGAAUCAUUGGGCGUAAAGGGCGUGUAGGCGGCGACGUAAGUGUAGGGUGAAAUCCCACGGCUCACCCGUGUGAAUUGCCCCGCAUACUGCGUUGCUUGAGUGUGGUAGGGGAGAGCGGAACUCCUGGUGGAGCGGUGAAAUGCGUAGAUAUCAGGAGGAACACCGGUGGCGUAGGCGGCUCUCUGGUCCAUAACUGACGCUGAAGUGCGAAAGCUAGGGUAGCGAACGGGAUUAGAUACCCCGGUAGUCCCUGAGCGGGCUGGCAAGGCGCAU
rnacentral:rRNA from 1 species